GACGAACGCUGGCGGCGUGCUUAACACAUGCAAGUCGAACGGAAAGGCCCUGCUUUUGUGUGGUUCUCGAGUCGCGAACGGGUGAGUAACACGUGAGUAACCUUCCCUUUACUUUGGGAUAACUUCAGGAAACUGGUGCUAAUACCUGAUAGGAGCUCCUGCUGCAUGGUGGGGGUUGGAAAGUUUAGGCGGAUGGGGAUGGACGCGCGGCUUAUCAGCUUGUUGGUGGGGUAGUUGCCUACCAAGGCUUUGGUGGGUAGCCGGCCUGAGAGGGGGACCGGCGACAAGGGGACUGAGAGACGGCGCAGACGGCUACGGGAGGCAGCAGGCGGGAGUCUUGCACAGUGGGCGGAAGCCUGAGGAGGAAACGCCGCGUGCGGGAUGACGGCUUUCGGGUUGGAAACCGCAUUAGCCUGUGACGAAGCGUGAGUGACGGUAAUGGGUAAAGAAGCACCGGCUAACUACGUG
rnacentral:rRNA from 1 species